ACAUCCAUGUGUUUCUUCUUUUUUUUUUCAGAUGCUCAUUUGCCAUUUACCCUCAGCUGUUUCUGAAGACUAUGAAAGUUGAUUACUCAACUAAGUUUAUGCCAAUGAUUGAUCAUUUCUGCUAAUGACCACAACUCUUCUUCUAUGAGGAAUAGAAAAAGCAGUACAACAAAAACAAAUCAAAAGUUAGAAGUUUUUGCCAGAACUGAAAUCGGAAAUGCCAAAGUACUGUGAGAAGGGCUGUUCUGUAUUACAGCUGACCCAAAUGAAACAAGGAAGUACUGGAGAAGCACAGGACAGUCUAUUUGAAGGAGGCUGCCAUCCAGUUUCCAGACUACAGAAGUUUGGAUGAGGUCAGAUAAACUCUGGAAACUGUUAAACUUCUGGAUGUAUAUCUGAACUGAACCAGCAGAUCUUUGUGACUCAUGCUUUACUGAUGCCCUCUUUUUGUGGAGAUGAGUAGAAAUAAAAUAGUUUUACUUUGGGAAA